AACCUCCCCAUUGGUGUCCAACCUCCCCAUCGAUGUCCCUAACCUCCCCAUCGAUGACCUUGGACAACGAUGCUGCAUUGGUCGCAGUAAAGAGCUUUCUACAAACACACGACGCUGGAGGAUAUUUUUACUCCUCACACACCAGCCGCAGGCUGUGGGGGUGUGGGGGGUAGGGGGGGACCUGUGUGGGACAGGGACGGGGGGGACGGGGGUACUUAAAGUGCUCUUCAGGACGAGCACAUUGUACCAAACAUAAGCACUGAAAACCGCAGUCCAGAAAUACAUCCUGGUUCACUCGUCUGGAUUCCUGUCGAGCUGUUGUCAAAUGCUUUGGGACAUUUUGCAAGAGUGUGUGUGUGUGUGUGUGUGUGUGUGUGUGUACAUGUGUGUACGUGUGUGUGUGUGUGCGCGUGUGUGUGUGUGUGUGUGUGCUGGUUUUACCAAGACUCCGGCCUCUGUGGCUCGCCUACAGUAUCUUUCGAAGUAUAUUUUAUUUCCACAAAGAAGUACAAAGGUGCUUUUCUUGUGUGAAUAUUUAGUUUUGUUUACAGACUCCGGUUCUCUGUAGUUCAGCUGCAGUCAUUUUGAAGGAUCUAAAGGUGCGUACAGACAGCGUAGGAAGACGUUUGUGCACAGGAGCACGGAACAGGGACUUUGAGAAGUGCAUGCGUGUGUUUGGUGAAUGGGAUCAUGUGAGCGGAACAACACCCGCCUACUUUCUGAAUUAUUUAAAAUGUCCAUGUUAUAAACUGUAUUAAGUCUGCUUGAAAUGUAUCAUUAAUAUUGUUAUCGAUCAUUAAACAGAAUAACGUCUUCACUAAAGCUGUUUUUAAUUGACUCUGGAAUGUAAGGAACAGAGAAGUGCUGCUCAGCGAUUGGACGGAAUAAUUCACCUGAGCGGAAACUCACAGGAUUCUUUAAAGCAGGAAGAACCUGUUUGUGUCCCUGAAGGCUUCCGGGUGCAGCGUGAACUCAGCAGAGCUGCACAGACGUUCAGAGGCAGGAAGCAGGGACGUAUUUAUGUUUCCUCGCCCUGUAAUUAGGACCUGGACCAACGCCCCCCCACCCCCC
ensembl:lncRNA